GUUUGCAUAAAAAUGUACAGCAUAUGGAAAAAUCAGGAAAAAAUGUGUGUUCUAUUUAUCUUCAAGAUAUCUCCCCAAGUUUCCUCCUGGAGGUGCAAUUGUUUGUAAGAGCUUUUUCAUGUGAACACAGUAGUUUCUCUAUUUUAUUUAUUGUUCGCACCUUUAUGGAAAGUGAAAGGCCAAGAGAGGAUGGCAGGCUGCGGGCUAUCGGAAGAUGCCUUCUUCUCCUCUUUCUUUUACAACUACAGCUCCUCCUGGGAAACCUCCUACAACCAGCGAGAUCCAGAGGAUGGAGCUGGUGCGUUACCCCGAACAACUCCAGGCACAACAAGGCAACUCAAGCGAAACCUCUGAAGUCUCCUUCGGUGCUUUUUGCCCGUUCUUCCUUGCUGCCUGGUUGCCUGUUAGUUGGGUCCUGGAGUGGGUGGGUGGGAUCCAUGAUCUAAGAUCCAAGACUUGCUGGCAGUGGAACCUCUCCCCCUUUCCCUGUCCCAUUCCCGCUCCCCUCCAGCCCGCAAACCGUUUCUUUCCCAUAAAAUGGCUGCAUAUGCAAGUAAAGCAUCCCUAACCCGUCUGGGUGGGAGUAGUUGAAGGCUUCUCUCUACGCCCCCGCACCUAUCCCCCUCCUACCCCCACUUAACUUUGAUGACUGUGCAAUGCAGUCUGGCUGCAUCCCUUCCUCAGGAGCUGCUCUCUGCCUCUAG
rnacentral:lncRNA from 1 species